UCUGAUUUAUUAGCAUUUGAUCCCCUAGUUUCCUGCCAUUGAUCAAGCCUAAUACUUGGCUCAGCUGAUGAGUUUUAUAUGAAAACUGAUAUUUCAGGAAGACGGAAGGUUGAACCCAUUUUUAAUAUUUUUCCCCUUCAUCUCUUUCAGAGUUUGACGUACACAGGAGACAACUAGCAAAGCCCGAAACUAUAUUCUUUCUCUCCACGUCACCCUGGUAUAAAACUUUUUGGAAGUCAAGCACGUAUUUAUCAAUAGAAGAGAUGUUUGUCCAGUGUCACUCACAUCCUGUCAACUGUAUAUACAUUUACACCCUCUCGCCAAAACAUGCCUUCACCCCGCUGCUGACCGGCUGUCCACCGUUCAAUCUCCAGUGAAGUCACGGAGGCGGAUCUUUCCCAGAAGCCUCCGGCCAGCUUCCCCUCAGGUCCCAUUCGUCAGGAUUGGGUCACACAGGAGCAGCCCAUUUUGAACUACAGUGAAGCAAGAAACAGCAGAGGGCUGCCCGUGGAGAGCCACCAGGAGCCUGUCCUGCUCUGGGAGUAAAGGAUGUAUGUUUCCGAUGUGAGGAUGAAGAUGAUGCUGUUAUUGUACCCACUGAUAGAUGAAGAGGCUUAGGGAGGCCAGUUAACUUACACCCAUGGGCACACGGCAAGGCAGUGAUGGAGCAGGAAUUAGGGGGCCUGCACCCCUCACCACCACUCCCCGAGGCCUUGAUUUG